AACAAGUGGCUUUUGGUUCAGAGUUGAUGUUACAUCCUGUUUUUGUUUCUUUUAUUUCCUCGGUUUUCUUUUCUUAUUAUUUUUCUUUUUCUUCACCGAAUGCCCUUUUCCGUGCUUCUUUUUGAAUCUUCCAGUUAUAAUUUUUUCUCUUUUUAUUUUUCUUUCUUUCUCUUGAUUCAUCAAUUUUUAUUUGUUCUUGC
rnacentral:lncRNA from 1 species